rnacentral:tRNA from 1 species
GCCUGGAUGGCUCAGUCGGUUGAGCGUCCGACUUCGGCUCAGGUCAUGAUCUCGCGGUCCGUGAGUUCGAGCCCCGCGUCAGGCU